GAUGAACGCUGGCGGCGUGCCUAACACAUGCAAGUCGAGCGGACUGACGCGACGCUUGCGUCUCUGAUGUUAGGGGCGGGCGGGUGAGUCACACGUGUAUACCCUCCCUAUCUGACUGGUAUCACUUCGGGAAUCCGGAUCUAACACCGUAUAAUAUUUUGAACCGCGUGGUUCAAUAGUGAAAGACGGUCUUGCUGUCACUACUAGAUGGUUCCGGGCUGGUUUAGCUAGUUGUUACGUUAACGGCUUACCAAGGCAACGAUGCAUAGCCGAACUGAGAGGGUGAUCGGCCACACUGGAGCUGAGACGCGGACAAGACGACUACGGGAGGCAGCAGUAGGGAACCGUAGGCAAUGGGCGAGAGCAUGACACAGCAAGGGCGCGUGUGUGAUGGAGGUGUUCGGAGCGUGAAGCUCUGUUAUUAGGGAAGAACAGCUGUCGACUUAGACGUAGCGUGAGUGACGGUAACGAGUCAAGAAGCAACGGCUAACUACGUG
rnacentral:rRNA from 1 species